CCCUAAUGUGUCUCAGCUGUUCCUCGUUGUGUUUGUUACUUAAGCCCUUGUCUUUCCUUUGUUCCUUGUGCUUUCAUUGUGGUUGUUAGUCCUGCGUGUUCCCUGUUCCCUCCCGAGUUCCCUGAUUCCUGUGCCUUAGCCUUUAAGCGUGAUUAAAGUGCUGUUUUUUGCUUCCCUUGUAUACUUUUUAAAAUAAGUGUGUGAUAGUUCGUGGACACAGACAGGGUUGACAGACCAGAAACAUCUGUCAGAACGGAUAAAAAAAACACAAGCGAGCAAGAGUGCAUAUGAACAACUGUGUGAAGCUAGCCCAUGCUAGAGGGUAAACCCCUACUGUCCACAAGCAUCCCCCCCUCCCAAUAUGGACUUGGAGAAUUGUUGCCACGUCCCGGUGGUGGAGGUAUCAUAUAUAUAUAUAUAUAUGAAAGAGGGCAUUCAAUUAUAGCCUACUACAAUGAUCAAUUAGGAGGCCGAAGCCCUAAAGGAAGUGAUGCAAUAGGUGACUGAGUCGACAACAUUUAAGUAAGCUGUAUAGGGUCUCUUAUAUAUCAAAGGGGGUCUCAAAGGACGCACACGCUUCAACCUGUGGCUCCAGCACUACAGAAAAUGACUCAGCAAGUGCUCCAUCUCGUUGCAACUCACCCAGCGGCUCGCUUGCAAGAUUUUGGCCUGAAGUUCUUCCCUAACCUACACCCUAGCCAUCCAACAUGCAUAUCUCGUAUCUAUAUAUCUCAUAUGCAUAUCAUAUCGUUGGAAUGACCAAUCAGAAGGCUUGCUGCAAGACGCGCUUGACAACGCUGACUGGGAAAUGUUCCGGGAGUCCUCCGACGUCAGUGAGUUUGCGGAAGUGGUCGGGAACUACAUACACCUACUGGUAAAUGACAUUAUACCAUCAGUCAAAAGAAAAGUUUUCCCAAAUCAGAAGCCAUGGGUAGAUGGAACUGUCAGGGCAGCACUUUCAGCGCGUACUGCUGCCUAUAAUGUUGGGAUUAAUACGGGGGACAUGUUGGACUACAAAGUGGCUGCUUAUGGCCUAAGGAAGGUCGUAAAAGCUGCAAAGUGCCGAUAUAAGGACAAAGUGGAAGCCGACUUCACCGCUGGUGACCCCGCUAGUGUGUGGAAGGGCCUGCGAAUAAUGACAGACUUUAAGAACAAGGCCGGCUCGGUGUGUAGCUCUGACCCCUCCCUUGCUGAUGAACUCAACACUUUCUUUGCACGGUUUGAGAUGGAGAGUGAAGAUCAUAACUCAAUGGUAGUCAUGGCCGACAUGUUUGGGAAUAACGCCAAACCCCCCUUCAUAGUAAGUGAGAGUGAUGUGAGGAGGGUGUUCAAAGGGGUAAAUGGGGAAAAAGGCUGCCGGGCCUGACCAGAUCCCUGAAAGGGUCCUUAAAUCCUGUGCUGACCAACUAGCUCCAGUGUACACCAUGAUCUUUAAUACAUCCCUGGCCCAAGCUGUCGUCCCAUCUUGCUUUAAAAAGUCUAUCAUUGUACCGGUGCCCAAAAAUAGUAAACCAUCAUGUUUGAACGAUUACCGUCCAGUGGCCCUGAUCUCUGCAGUGAUGAAAUGUUUCGAAAGGCUGGUGAAAAAUUACAUCUGCACCUCCCUGCCAAACUCGUUCGACCCCCUCCAGUUUGCUUACAAAGCAAACGGAAGCAGAGACGAUGCCAUCUCCAACCUGCUAAACACCACUCUUACUCAUCUGGAUGGUGGGGGGGGGGAACUAUGUGAGGAUGCUGUUCAUUGAUUACAGUUCAGCUUUCAAUACCAUAGUCCCCCUCCGCCUGAUCGACAAGAUGAGGUCGCUGGGGAUCAACACCCAAAUGUGCAACUGGGUGCUCAGCUUCCUUACUGACCGCCCCCAGGUGGUGAAAGUGGAGGGUGGUGUAACUUCUGGGCCGCUGACCCUCAACAUCGGUUCCCCCCAGGGCUGUGUUCUGAGCCCGCUGCUGUACAACAUCUACACUUAUGACUGCACAGCCUCCGGAAGUUCAACCUCCAUCAUUAAAUUUGCAGAAGACACUGUGGUGCUGGGUCUUAUCUCUGAUAACAACGAGCAGCCCUACCAGAACCAAGUGGCAGACCUGGCACUGUGGUGUCAGUCCAACAAUUUGGCCCUAAAUAUAAAAAAGACAAAGGAAAUGGUGGUGGACUUCCGGCGGAAGCAGGACAGCGGGUUCACCCCCCUCAUCAUCAACGGGGAGCCUGUGGAGGGGGUUCCUAGUUUUAAGUACCUGGGUGUGCACAUCACUGAAGACCUAACCUGGACCCUCCACACACAACAUGUGACAGUCAUCUAGGCAGCGACUGUACUUCCUCCGGAGGCUGAGGAAAUUCAAGGUCUCCCCUUCCAUCCUGAAGACCUUCUACUCCUCAGCCGUGGAGUGCGUCCUCACAGGAUGCAUCUCCGUCUGGUACGGAAGCUGUACCGCUCAAGACCAGGCCAACCUACAGAGGGUGGUGCGCUCAGCUGAGCGGACUAUCAGAGCGUCCCUACCCAACGUGAAGGACAUCUACCACAAGAGGGUGGAGUCGAGGGCAAAAAACAUCAGGAGGGAUGACACACACCCCAAUGCCAGCCUCUUCACCCUGCUGCCGUCGGGUAGACGCCUACGAAGCCUUAACUCAAGGACUGAGAGACUUAAGAGAAGUUUUUAUCCACAGGCAGUGAGAAACUUGAAUUCAAAUUUUUAAUUCAACACCUUAUUUUUAAAUUUGAUUUUAUUUACAUUUUUUAUUUUAUCUAAAU
ensembl:lncRNA